rnacentral:rRNA from 1 species
CCCUUAGACGCUCUAGGCGGCACGCGCGCUACAAUGGGUGGUAGAACGUGUAACUGCUCCCGAAAGGGAGGGUGAACCGCGAAUACUUACCCGUGAAUGGGAUAGUUUGUUGCAAUUUUCGGACUUGAACUAGGAAUCCCUUGUAAGAAUGCUCAAGAAUAGCGUGCUGAAUACGUCCCUGCCGUUUGUACACACCGCCCGUCGUUUCUUCCGACUGAUACUCAUUGUGAGUUGCAAGGAUUCUUAUUGAAAAAUUGCUGCGAAUGCUUUGUAUUGGAGGAAGAAAAAGUCGUAACA